rnacentral:snRNA from 2 species
GUUCUCACUUCGGCAGCACAUAUACUAAAAUAGGAAUGACACAGAGAAGAUUAGCACGGCCCCUGUGUGAGGAUAACACGCAAAUUCCUGAGCACUCCAUAUUUUU